UGCACCUUUAUCUCUUCUUUGACUUUCUCAAAGAAAGAAGACUCAAGAAGCCCUCCCUCUCUAUUCCCACGGGUCCAAUUAAAUCAGAAAAUUCUCACCUCACUUUUCUCUCUUUUCUCUUAAGGAAAGAGAUAGAAGCUCUCUUGAGUCCACAAGUUCACACACCAAAAGAAAGAUAAAGCUCCAAAUCAUUUCUUCUUCAUAUUCUCUCAAAGAAAACUCUCUCAAGCUCUCUACCUCUCAUACUUUUGAGUCCAACCACUAGGAAAGGGAAAUCCUUUCAUGCAAGAGUGAUUCUACCUCUAAUUCCCCUCAAGAACCAGAAACUUGGUGUUACCAGCCCCAGAUCUAAGCUCCUUCGACUUUAGGCUCUUGGUUCCUCUGCUUUCAGGUAGACUUUAGGCUCUCGAUUCCUUUGCUUUCAGUCAACAGGUUUUAAUUUGGAGCAGAAGGAACCUUAGUCGAGUUUUGGAAGGAGCUAGUUUUAGUUUUAAUGUAUAGAUCCCAAAUUAGCAAUUUGAUGUUUAGCUUUGUAGUAUUGUGUAUUUUAGGAUCUAAUGAAAGUUUUGUACCUUAAAGCAUUAAGAGAUGUAUUAUGUGAAAUUUAGAAUUUGAGUAACUAGUGGAUUAUGUUAUUUUUUGAGUAUAGUGUAGAUGCUUUGAAUGUCAAGUGAAAAGUUAGAUCAUUUAAGUAAAGAAACAAGAAUGAAUAGAAAGAGGGAAGCUUUUGUAAAA